rnacentral:tmRNA from 1 species
GGGGACGUUUUGGAUUUGACAGGGCGUUCGAUGUGGGUAGGCUGCGAGUCGGAGCGCUGUUCUCCGUUACCAACGAGCAAAACUAAAAUAAAUGGCAACAACGUCAUUAAAGCUGAUUUCAGCAGAGCUCAAGCUCUAGCUGCUUAGUAAAAUCGGCCACUGAGUAGCCCUAACCGGGCGGGUUGCUUGGUCACUAAUCCCGGAUGCGUCUGGAAUACGAGGGUAAAACCAGACUAAGAUUUCCCUCAAAGCCGGGCACGGCUAAAUGCUUAGUCUUAGUUUUAGAUUACGGUUGUUGAUCUGACUGGGAUGAAAAUUAAAAACAACCUACACUCGUAGAUGUC